ACGUGCGUGUUUUGUUUGUCCUCGUCCUAAUAGUUCGGUUUCUGUCCAGUUGAAGGUAUGGCAGUUGUCGUAUGUGUGUGCUGCAGGUAGUGAUUUAUAAUCGUAUCGUUUUAUGGCGUUUUUGUGUUCAGUUAUUCGUGUUUCAACUUUUUUCGAGGUUUGACCUAUGUAUCGUUGUGGACAGUCUCUGCAAGGUAUCAUGUAUAUAGCAUUUUUUGUUUGUUUUGAUGCUGUUUUGUCUUUGUGUUUUGUGAAAUAUGACCUAAGUUUAUGUGCCGGUUUGUGUGCUACGUCAAUGUUGAAAGGUCGCAAUAAUCUGGCGGUCAUUUCAGAUGUACUGUUUAUGUAAGGUAGAGUUAUUCUUGUCCUUGAUUGUUCAGGUUGUUCGUCAGGUAUGUUACUCUGUUGUUUGUUACGUAUUUUUGUUAGUAUUUUGUUAAUGAAGUUCCUAGGGUAGUUGUUUUUCAUGAAAGUCGAGUAUAGAUAUUUGCGUUCUGUUUGUUUAGCUUGUUCUGUCUUACAGUGCGUAUCUAUUCGGUUGAAUAAGCUUCUUAUACAGCUUAUUUUGUGUUGAGUAGGGUGGUUGCUGUUAAAAUUCAGUAUUUGGUCAGUGUGCGUUUUCUUACGGUAGACCUGUGUGUUAAUCGUGCCGUCAUCAGUUCUUGUCAACAAAAUGUCAAGGAAAGCAAGUUGGUUGUUAUCUUCUUCUUCUUUCGUGAAUUUUAUAUUUUCUGUAGUAUUGUUUAUAGUAUGUAAAAUGUCGUCAGUCUUGUCUUUCUUAACUGUAGCAAGGACGUCGUCUACGUAUCUGUUCCAUGUUUUAAUAUCGUUAUUGUUAGUAAGCUCAAUAAAAGUAUAUUUCAAUCCGGAGAACUUUAAUUAAUUAUAAUAUGCCUGGAUUACAAAUCUUU